rnacentral:rRNA from 1 species
CUGAACGCUGGCAGCGUGGAUAAGGCAUGCAAGUCGAACGUUCUUUAUUAGCAAUAGUAAAGAAAGUGGCAGACGGGGUAGUAACACGUAGGGAACCCUCCCAGAAGCGAGGAAUAACCCACCGAAAGGUGAGCUAAUACUUCAUACGCUCCACGAACGGAAGUUCAUGGAGGAAAGCCGCAAGGCACUUUUGGACGGUCCUGCGUCCUAUCAGCUAGUUGGUGAGGUAAUGGCUCACCAAGGCGACGACGGGUAGGGGGUGUGAGAGCACGAUCCCCACCAUUGGGACUGAGACACUGCCCAGACACCUACGGGUGGCUGCAGUCGAGAAUCUUCGGCAAUGCGCGAAAGCGUGACCGAGCGACGCUGCGUGAAGGAAGAAGGCCUUCGGGUUGUAAACUUCUUUUGCGUGGGAAAAAUUUUGAUGGUACCACGAGAAUAAGGGGCUGCUAACUCUGUGCCAGCAGCAGCGGUAAUACAGAGGCCCCGAGCGUUAGCCGGAAUUAUUGGGCGUAAAGGGUCCGCAGGUGGACACGUGCGUCUGCUGUGAAAUCGUGGGGCCCAACCUCACGGCGUGCAGUGGAUACGACGUUUCUUGAGGCAGGGAGAGGUCAGUAGAACUCAUGGUGGAGCAGUGAAAUGCGUUGAUAUCAUGGGGAACACCAAUUGCGAAGGCAGCUGACUGGUCCUGUCCUGACACUCAGGGACGACAGCGUGGGGAGCGAAGCGGAUUAGAUACCCGCGUAGUCCACGCCGUAAACGAUGUCAACUAGGCAUUGGGAGUAUCGACCCUCUCAGUGUCGUAGCUAACGCGUUAAGUUGACCGCCUGGGUAGUACGGCCGCAAGGCUAAAACUCAAAGGAAUAGACGGGGGCCCGCACAAGCGGUGGAGCGUGUGGUUUAAUUCGAUGGUAAGCGAGGAACCUUACCAGGGCUUGAAAGGGAGCUGCAUGUCUCUGGAAACAGAGAAGGCCUUCGAGGGUGCUCCAACAGGUGCUGCACGGUUGUCGUCAGCUCGUGGCGUGAGCUGUUCCCUUCAGUGGGGUAACGAGCGCAACCCUUGUCGUGUGUUACUUUUAGUCACACGAGACUGCCGUGGUUAACACGGAGGAAGGUGGGGAUGACGUCAAAUCAGCGUGGUCCUCUGACGCCCUGGGCGACACACGCGCUACAAUGGCUGGGACAAAGAGUUUUGCAAACCCGCGAGGGGGAGCCAAUCUUCAAACCCAGUCUCAGUUCGGAUUGGAGGCUGCAACUCGCCUCCAUGAAGCUGGAAUCGCUAGUAACCGCGAAUCAGCCACGUCGCGGUGAAUACGUUCUCGGGCUUUGUACUCACCGCCCGUCAACUCAGGAGAGCUGACAGUACCCGAAGCUCCAGCGUAAGUUGGAACCACGGUAAGGUCAGUAAUCAGGAGU